GUGCUCACUUCAGGAGCACAUAUACUAAAAUUGGAAUGAUACAGAGAAGAUUAGCAUGGCUUCUGUGCAAGGAUGACCCACAAAUUUGUGAAGCAGUCCGUAUUUUU
rnacentral:snRNA from 2 species